rnacentral:lncRNA from 1 species
GUUGGGGAGUAGACAGGUAUGUCCACUUUGGCUCUCCAUGUAUUCCCUGAAGAAAGCGUCACAGGACUGAUGUUAAUCUUCUCCAGCAAAGAGGAGCUGCUGGGGGAGAGGAUUAGGGUCCAUGUCAAAUUGUGGCCCUAAGUGCAGAAAGUGAUUCAGAGGGAAUUACAUACCAUGGCUCAUGAAAAUGCAUCCCGUCCCUGUUGUGCAUUUCUGUUUAGACAAAGAUUGACUGCGUUUUUGGAAUCAGUAAAGGCAAGCUCAGCUCUCAGGAAACUGUGAAGCUGGAGAGGUUUAACUUCAGUGUCCCUGUUUCCUCACUGAGCUUGUUUCUGUCCUUUAGCCUCAAGGGCCCAUCCCCGAGUCCAGCGGAAGGCUCAACUCCACCAUGCGCUACCACUCAAGGACACUGAGCCUUCUUUGUGGCUGUUGGGCUGGGGAGAAACACAGGAUGUAAGCAGUGGCCUCCUCUGCUACCACAUCCAGACCUAUGAAAGGAAAAGGCAAGACCAAGCUGGAUGGGGAAAAGAUGGCAUUUGUAAUCCAAGCAGGGUGGUGAGAGAAGAGAGCCUGCUCAGGGUUUAUGUCUUUCUGCUGCUCUACCCGUAAGCCUGGAGAGGGAGCUGAGCAAGAGAAGGGACAAAGGUGAGGCAGGGGCCUUUCAG